UACGAAGGGUGCAAGCGUUACUCGGAAUCACUGGGCGUAAAGCGUGCGUAGGCGGUUCGUUAAGUCUGCUGUGAAAGCCCUGGGCUCAACCUGGGAACUGCAGUGGAUACUGGCGGACUAGAGUGUGAUAGAGGAUGGUGGAAUUCCCGGUGUAGCGGUGAAAUGCGUAGAGAUCGGGAGGAACACCAGUGGCGAAGGCGGCCAUCUGGAUCAACACUGACGCUGAGGCACGAAAGCGUGGGGAAGCAAACAGGG
rnacentral:rRNA from 1 species